UCAUAGAAAUGGCUGCUAUGGAUAGUAUUACCCAAACAAUUGGUAGUUUCCACCAGAAGUCAAACGACUUGUGUUGGCACAGAUCCUUCCUUGGAUGUCUGAGUGA
rnacentral:snoRNA from 1 species